GGGAGGCCGAUUGCAAGUGUCGACAAGCAAUCGGAACGCGAGUUAAGGUUCACACGUGAGCGGCGCGGCGGCGCGAGGCGAGGGCGUAGCAUUAUAGUUAGCGCCCUACCACCGAGACCAGAGAUAGCGGUACGCUGAGUCGGCUUGCUUAGGAUUGUAGAAAAUGAAAAGAAUCAAGUUGUAAUAAUCAUGUUAAAUCGGAUUGUAUUUGGAAGUUGAAUGUAAUAAGUAUUUGGGAUGUAAAAUGUAUGAAUGUGAAUGCUUGUAAUAA